CCUUUUGUAUAAUGGGUCAGCGACUUAUAUUCUGUAGCAAGGUUAACCGAAUAGGGGAGCCGAAGGGAAACCGAGUCUUAACUGGGCGUUAAGUUGCAGGGUAUAGACCCGAAACCCGGUGAUCUAGCCAUGGGCAGGUUGAAGGUUGGGUAACACUAACUGGAGGACCGAACCGACUAAUGUUGAAAAAUUAGCGGAUGACUUGUGGCUGGGGGUGAAAGGCCAAUCAAACCGGGAGAUAGCUGGUUCUCCCCGAAAGCUAUUUAGGUAGCGCCUCGUGAAUUCAUCUCCGGGGGUAGAGCACUGUUUCGGCAAGGGGGUCAUCCCGACUUACCAACCCGAUGCAAACUGCGAAUACCGGAGAAUGUUAUCACGGGAGACACACGGCGGGUGCUAACGUCCGUCGUGAAGAGGGAAACAACCCAGACCGCCAGCUAAGGUCCCAAAGUCAUGGUUAAGUGGGAAACGAUGUGGGAAGGCCCAGACAGCCAGGAUGUUGGCUUAGAAGCAGCCAUCAUUUAAAGAAAGCGUAAUAGCUCACUGGUCGAGUCGGCCUGCGCGGAAGAUGUAACGGGGCUAAACCAUGCACCGAAGCUGCGGCAGCGACACUAUGUGUUGUUGGGUAGGGGAGCGUUCUGUAAGCCUGUGAAGGUGUACUGUGAGG
rnacentral:rRNA from 1 species